rnacentral:rRNA from 1 species
UACGUAGGGGGCAAGCGUUGUCCGGAUUUACUGGGCGUAAAGAGCGCGCAGGCGGUCGGUCAAGUCGCGUGUGAAAGCCCCCGGCUCAACUGGGGAGGGUCACGCGAUACUGAUCGACUGGAAGGCAGGAGAGGGUAGUGGAAUUCCCGGUGUAGUGGUGAAAUGCGUAGAUAUCAGGAGGAACACCGGUGGCGAAGGCGCUCAUCUGGCCCAAUACUGACGCUGAGGCGCGAAAGCUAGGGUAGCGAACGGG